AAAUUGAAGAGUUUGAUCAUGGCUCAGAUUGAACGCUGGCGGCAGGCCUAACACAUGCAAGUCGAACGGUAACAGGAAACAGCUUGCUGUUUCGCUGACGAGUGGCGGACGGGUGAGUAAUGUCUGGGAAACUGCCUGAUGGAGGGGGAUAACUACUGGAAACGGUAGCUAAUACCGCAUAAUGUCGCAAGACUAAAGAGGGGGACCUUCGGGCCUCUUGCCAUCGGAUGUGCCCAGAUGGGAUUAGCUAGUAGGUGGGGUAACGGCUCACCUAGGCGACGAUCCCUAGCUGGUCUGAGAGGAUGACCAGCCACACUGGAACUGAGACACGGUCCAGACUCCUACGGGAGGCAGCAGUGGGGAAUAUUGCACAAUGGGCGCAAGCCUGAUGCAGCCAUGCCGCGUGUAUGAAGAAGGCCUUCGGGUUGUAAAGUACUUUCAGCGGGGAGGAAGGGAGUAAAGUUAAUACCUUUACUCAUUGACGUUACCCGCAGA
rnacentral:rRNA from 1 species